GUGGGAAUCCUGAGAACAGCAAAUUUAUAAAUCAGCCUAAUUCAAAGAUUAAUUCUGACUUUAUCAAACAAGGAACUGUUAAAAUGGCAAUCGGUCAAGCGGAACCUCUGGAAAAACAAAUGCUUGGCCUUCCCCAAUUCAGUUUUGACCCUCCUCCACCCUAGGCAUGAGAACAACUUAUGGAAUUACAUACCCCAGCCGAGAAGAUAAUACCACAUCAAGUGUUGUUUCUCUGCAAAGACAGCCACCACAAUGAGAGUAUGCAGAUAAAUGCCUUCACAGAGCAUCCAGAAGUAAUGGCAACCAGUUAAAUACAAGUAAAUGAACUGAUAUACUUUGCAACUAACCUGUGGAAAAAACAAAGAAUACAGCUUGAAUAAUUAGUUUGCAAUGGUUCCAGAGAGAUUCAAUGGCAAGAGGGAAGCAUUACUUAUUUUGUCACUCUGCUUUUCUAUAAAUUUUGCUUUGAUAUUCAUAAGGCAGAACUCAAAUUGUGACAUCUGGAUGACUCCACAAAGGAGACUGUAGUUUUAUUAACUGACUUGAUUUGGGGGAUGGAGGCUGAAGGCCUCCAGCACCAUGGAGAACAUGGUGGGCAUAGGGAAUUUUUUUUAAAUGAUGAGGUUUUCCCCUCAGAGGAUCCUCAUGUUGCCAACACUGAUGUAAAUUCAUCAAUUCAGAUAAAUAAAGAUUCCUCAAAGCUUUGUGAAAAGUAUCUGAUGGUAAGUGAUAUAUUUGGGAAGAAGAUCCUUUGAUUAGGCCACAUUAUCCUCUCAGUUACACCAGCAACUCCAGUGGAAACAGUGCAUG